rnacentral:lncRNA from 1 species
AACAUAUUGCAUAAAAUGUGUCUGUCCUGUCCUUAACGCAGUUGGAGCAGCAGAAGCAAAUGUAGAUCUUCAGGAAUAACGUUUCAAAGCUUUCCAGAAGAUCCUGCGAAGAAGGCAUGAAGUAUAGAUCAGAUUUGUUAAUAGAGGAGUAUGUUCAAAA